rnacentral:rRNA from 1 species
AUUGAACGCUGGCGGCAAGCUUAACACAUGCAAGUCGAGCGGGGUGAUGGUGCUUGCACUAUCACUUAGCGGCGGACGGGUGAGUAAUGCUUAGGAAUCUGCCUAUUAGGGGGGGACAACAUCUCGAAAGGGAUGCUAAUACCGCAUACGUCCUACGGGAGAAAGCAGGGGAUCACUUGUGACCUUGCGCUAAUAGAUGAGCCUAAGUCGGAUUAGCUAGUUGGGGGGGUAAAGGCCUACCAAGGCGACGAUCUGUAGCGGGUCUGAGAGGAUGGUCCGCCACACUGGGACUGAGACACGGCCCAGACUCCUACGGGAGGCAGAAGUGGGGAAUACUGGACAAUGGGGGGAACCCUGAUCCAGCCAUGCCGCGUGUGUGAAGAAGGCCUUAUGGUUGUAAAGCACUUUAAGCGAGGAGGAGGCUCUUUUGGUUAAUACCCAAGAUGAGUGGACGUUACUCGCAGAAUAAGCACCGGCUAACUCUGUGCCAGCCGCCGCGGUAA